rnacentral:rRNA from 1 species
GACGGGGACCCGCACAAGCAGCGGAGCGUGUGGUUUAAUUCGUUGCUACACGAAGAACCUUACCUGGGUUUGACAUAUAAGUUGUAGGGAACUGAAAAGGGACGACCCUUCGGGGAGCUUAUACAGGUGUUGCAUGGCUGUCGUCAGCUCGUGUCGUGAGAUGUUCGGUUAAGUCCGCUAACGAGCGCAACCCUCGCCGUAUGUUACAAGUGUCAUACGGGACUGCCGGUAAAAGCCGGAGGAAGGUGAGGAUGAUGUCAAGUCAGCAUGACCUUUAUAUCCAGGGCUACACACACGCUACAAUGGUCUGUACAAUUGGUUGCCAAGCCGCGAGGCGGAGCCAAUCCGUAAAGCAGGCCUCAGUUCAGAUUGCAGUCUGCAACUCGACUGCAUGAAGCCGGAGUUGCUAGUAACCGCAGGUCAGCAAUACUGCGGUGAAUACGUUCCCGGGUCUU